rnacentral:lncRNA from 1 species
CUCUCCUUUCCACCAUUCAGAUCCAGGCGCCGCGCGAGGUCACAUAUCUCUGCUUCCAUAUUUUGUUACGAGCGGGAUGUGCAGCUCGGUACGAGGAAGGAUUCAGUUCGGUAUAAGCCAGAUGUGCAGCUCGCUAUACCUAUUUUGUAAUUUUGAUUUGCCCACAACCAUGCUUCGAUCUAUUUCUUUCUCUGUCGAUCUAUUUGCAGCUUACUGAUGUUCCCCACCUGAUGUCGAGCGGUGUAGGUUGCUUCUCAUUGCAGCUCGGUUGGGUCGCCGGUGUAGUAUGCAGGCACGUGAGAGGACGACGGGCGUGUAGUUUGGUUUUGGCCGUGCGUCGCUCCUGUAUGGAUGCGCGCGUCGUGCGUUUUACUCGACUGUGCACAGAAGGUUCUUGGAGUCCGUCGACGUGCAGUUUCGACAGCUGUUCAUCAGCUUGUCCCAUGCAGCUCAGUUUCUGCAGGCACGCGGUGCGGCAUUUCGCAUGGUGUAGUUCGGCAGCGGUGCGGCAUCAUGUGUUGUUUUGCAACUGGUGCCACUGCGUGUGCAUUUUAGUAGUUGGUCGCCCCGUGUAGUUUAGUUAAUGUGUUUGUAUCUAGAAAGAGUGCUUUUGUUUUUGAGCAUGUACCAUGCAGUUUGGAGCAUGUGAACAUGUAGUACAAAAUGGUGCAUUUUGUUUUUUAGGAGUUUAUGCAUAAAAAUUACAGGGACUUUAUUUGAAUGUGUUCAGAAAUUGCAGUUUGGAGUAUCUCCACAUGUAGUGCAGACGCUGCUUUUGUGUUUGUGGAUUUUUUUAUAAAGAUUAUAGGGACU